rnacentral:rRNA from 1 species
AUUGAACGCUGGCGGCAGGCCUAACACAUGCAAGUCGAGCGGGGUUUUCGGACCUAGCGGCGGACAGGUGAGUAAUGCGUAGGAAGCUACCCGAUAGAGGGGGAUACCAGUUGGAAACGACUGUUAAUACCGCAUAAUGUCUACGGACCAAAGUGUGGGACCUUCGGGCCACAUGCUAUCGGAUGCGCCUACGUGGGAUUAGCUAGUUGGUGGGGUAAUGGCUCACCAAGGCGACGAUCCCUAGCUGGUUUGAGAGGAUGAUCAGCCACACUGGAACUGAGACACGGUCCAGACUCCUACGGGAGGAAGCAGUGGGGAAUAUUGGACAAUGGGCGCAAGCCUGAUCCAGCCAUGCCGCGUGUGUGAAGAAGGCCUUCGGGUUGUAAAGCUCUUUCAGCGAGGAGGAAGGGAGUUGUGUUAAUAGCGCAGCUUUUUGACGUUACUCGCAGAAGAAGCACCGGCUAACUCUGUGCCAGCAGCCGCGGUAAAAC